UUGCUUUCUUUAUUUUACUUUUAUUUAUAGUCAUUAUUAAACCCUCGGGCAUCGAUGUUCAUCAUCGACGUUUUCCUUCCCUCUCUCCAUCUCUCGUCAAUCUUUCUGCAACUUCGCUCCUGCAACGAUUUUUCUCAUCUCUUGGCUUACUACAGAUGGAAUUCGAACAAAGACUUCGACGAUGGAUUCUAAAUCAUAAUGUCUUCUAUUGCAAGGUCUCUUGCUGCAUGGUGGUGCUUGCACGGGAAUUUAGGUUUCAAAAUGAAUUUCUUGGUGCCUUAUUGUGCAGAAUGAAAGAUCAUGCUGGAUAAGAAGACUUCAGCCUAAGGAGAAGAAUUUACCCCAACUUAGUAGCUCUUGCUGGUGUGUCAUAGUUCUGCUGCUGUGGCUGGCUUAGUUGGAGAUGAACAGGAGAUGGUGGCUCUUAAUAUUAUAUUCAAGGGCUGAUUUUGAAGGCUCAGAAUAUAGUAAAUGAUCCAAAGAGAACUAGCAACUGACAGUCCACUGAUGGAGAAAAUCUGCAGAACAUAAUCAAUAAUUUUCUUGUGAGGUAUAGAACAGCACAUGAAGCAGUCGGGGAAUGUGGAUGUUGUCGUUUACCGCUAAUUCCGUAACAUAGCCUGCGAUGAUUUGGCAUUUCCUGAGUUGUGCUUGAUUUGGAGGCAACUAGAUCUGUGGGAAGAUUGAAGGACAUUGGAAGAUUUCCUGUGCUAUAUCAAGAACUAGAAACUUGUGGAAUUGUACAGUGCUUUUGGGCUGCAUGUCUUACCAUGAGCCAUAUGUUUGUAUGCUUGGUAGAAAAUCUGGUUGGUCUUUAGUUUUUGUAGUUGGUACAACUGAGGAGUUGUUAUAAGGGGCCCGAGUUCCUCACUGUAGAUCUUGGAUACCAGUAGAUGGAUUAGUGCCCUGUAGCAUGCUUUGAAGGCUUGGGAUGCUACCAUGCAGUUUCUUGGUUGUUAUUGAACUUUUGAUGAAGCUCUUUGAUAUGUAAAAAGGCUCCAAAUGUUAUUUCAAAGUUCAGAAUCAUGAAUUGUUUUAAGGAUUCAGACUUCAUUGGGAUGGGUUCUCCAAAUCUGUUGGCAGAAAUUUUUAGACAUUUGGCAGAUUGGCUGGCCAUGACUAGUUUCUGUGACUGAAACUUAUCUAGAAUGGAUUUUCAUUUCAAAAUUUGGCUCAUAUAGAAAGCAAGUAUGUUUCCAUCUCUGUGGGCGUGAAAUGGUGGUGCUUUGGCAAAUUGCAUGGUCAAUAUUUUUCUUGUAGAGGGCAGUAACGAAAGGAGGAGGUUCUGCAAUGGUAGUUUGUUACUCUUGAGCUUACUCUUGGGGGGUGUACAAUCUUUUACUCCUCGUGAACUGAGGUUUUCUGACAACAACUGCUGUUGUUAAGUGUCUGGUGAUUUGGGCUUGGGGAAGAAGAAAGUUAUAGUUCUUAAAGCUAUUGACUCUUCCUGAGCUCCAAUCAACAUUUCGUUUUCUAUCAUUUCAAGAUGGACCACUGAUUAAGCAGAUAGACUUGGACUUAGGCUUCAGACAGUCCUUUUGUAUCCUGAACUGUAUAAUUGUCAUGGCAUCUAGGCAACCAAGGCGUUGGAGGGGGGGCCUGUACAUCAAAGUGACACCAACAAGGCACCUACGAAAAACCUUGAGAACUAUGAUGGACUGCAUCUUCCUCCUCGGUAUUUGUUCUAUCAUGUUUCUGUUGUUUCUAUAGCUACAUUUGUUUUAGGAAUUUCUGUUACUGAAAAAAAAAAUAAAAAAUAGAUAGUCUAGGAUGUCCAUGGACAUGUUUUAAUAGGAUAUCAGAACUAAGUUGAUCUAGAAAAUCUAGAACACCGUAUUGGGAGACAAUGUAGUUGUAGUCUAUUGUCGAUUUUCUAAGAAAUUUUAGUCCAUGGACAUGUUUUAAUAGGAUAUCUUAACAAAGCAGAUCUAGAAAAUCUAGAACACCAUACUGAGAGAUGAGUGUAUUCAAUGUAGUUAUAGUCUAUUGUCGAUUUUCUAAGAAAUUUUUAGUCCAUGCACAUGUUUUAAUAGGAUAUCUGAAGCCAAUAUAGAACAUCUAGAACACUGUACUGAGAGGCGAGUGUAAUCAAUGUAUAAUAGUCUAUUGUUGAUUUUCUAAGAAACUUUAAAAUUUAUGGACAAAUUGGUACAAUAUUUUGGUUGGUUCUACCUAAAUCUACUUAAACAUAGCAAAAAAAGAAGCAAAACAAACUUAAUUCUUUUAUCUUGCCAUCCAUCUGCUUAUAAAAAAUACCACUAGAACACUACAGAAGGGGUGGCAGUAACUUGAGCAAUCAUGACAUGAGAAUAUGAGAUAAAACAUUCAAUUUUGUGGAAGCAUCAACACAGUUGGCUUUUUUGCGAGGACGAACAACAUUAAAUGGAAAUGAUGACACUAGUUGUCAUGAUGAUUCUUAUAGAAAUUAAGAAUUAAAUGGAACGGAGAAAUCAAAUGGAGACACUUAUCUGGCUGCAAGGACUUUGCAUUUGUAAGCUAAAGGAGAUGAUCAACAUGAGGAUGCCAUAAUUCAUGACAAGGUGGAUAUGGAAGAAUGGUAAAUCAAGAUUGUGAAAUCUAGUGGGAAAGUGGAGUUGUGCUUCAAAUUUUGGAAACUUAAGUAUUGCCAGCUAGAAGAAGCUUUGUUUCGAAAGUGAAAUAGGUAUUGUAGAUACGUAUCUUAAGUAUCGGUGAGUAUUGAUGAGUAUCAACUGCGUAUCGGUGUAGGUUCAAUACGGUUCAAUACGAACUGAUGCACACGUAAUUCAAUUGUCUAGGGCUCAAUUGUACAUAUCAAGAGUAUCGGUACGAAUUGAUGAGUAUCGGAGAGUAUCGUACGAUAUGGUACAAUACACUUCGAUACUCAAUACAUAGUUUAAAAGAAAAUACAUGUAUCGUGUUGGUGUGUAUCGUGUAAGUGCUGACCGAUACGUAUGGACCGAUAUGGUAUAAUACACACCGAUGCUUUAAACCAUGGUAAGAGGUUGUAUAGGAAAUUCUUCAUUGGAAUAGAGGACAUUAUGAGAUUGAGAGAUGCUUUUGGGGUGAAUCAUUGAAAAAGGUCAUCAUUAUACCGUUGAGUUGGAUUUUAGGUCAAAAUCUAUAGUCUUUUGAUUUGUAAAACCUUAUGCAUAAACUCUAUGAUUUAUUGCAGUUUGCAUCGUAAAUAGUGACACUUCACAUGGCUCACAUUUUGGAAGUUAUUUACUGUCCCAAUAAAAAAAAAUUUAAGCAUAAAUGGGAAUACAUAAAUAAAAUUUCUGUGCGAUGCAUUCUAUACUGUAGGAAUUGCUGCAAAUAAAACUUGGAAGUUGCAAGAAAUACCUUGACUUCUGAAGUUGGAUUCAGCAGUUGGUGUUGCUCUUCCUUUGCUUUAUUGUAUCGAUCAAUUAUUGAUUUCAUGCUGGUAGCAGUACAUGGAGACGCAGUCAGCUUUAUGCCCCUUACAUUGGUAAACAUUUCAAUAGAUUGGAUUAGCAAAAUGUUGUAUAAGAAGGAUAAAUAAGUUACACAAAUGCAUAUUAAAUUAACGAUUAUCGUAGUCUCUCCCCUCUUCACUGGCCUCUGUAUUGAUCUCUUACUAAAUGUUUUUGAAACUGGAACUUGACAGUUUAAGUUGCCUCCUGAAGUAAAAGUAGAUUAUUGAGAUUGUCAGAAUUGAUGACAAGCCUACCUCAUUACCUGAUGCCACUCAUCACUUGUUUAGUGAUGUAUGCCAUGAUUUUUCUGAAAGUUGGGCCAAGUGUCUCCAAUAUUCAUGAUUUGAUGGCUAGGAAUGGUGUUCUCUCUUUAACUCCUAAAACUAUAAAAGGCAAUGGGCAUUUGUUGACCUUUUGUAAUUUGAAAUUGAAUCUCAGUUGUUACUAGGAGUGAGGAGAUUCUCUAUUCGACCACUAGCUCUUGUGGGGAACUCGUUGACAUAUGCUGUUUUACUGAUUCUCAUACAGUUGUUUCUUUUGUAUGUAUGUGUUUUGGAUGGCUCUUUUAUAUCUUUGUGAUAUGUUUAACAAAUUCUGAACAUUUCAACUAGACAGCCAUGCUGCAGAAAUAGAACACAAUUUGGUGGGAUAUCCACUCGAGUGAGUGUGUAGAGUGUGAAUUCAUAGCAUGGCUGUACCCAAAUUCUAGUUUUCAAUUAUGCUUCACAUCUUUACCCCUUAAAAGAGAAAGGAUGGCGUUAAUGUUUCGAAGAUUGGAGAGAUUCGCCAGCUUGUCAAGAAAUGGACAGCAUAAUCUAGGGUCAAACAUGACACUUUUGUUGCACCAAAUUAGUUAAAUCUCUCUCUCUCUCUCUCUCUAUAUAUAUAUAUAUAUAUAUAUCGAGUAACUCCUCUCUUAGGCAUCUGACUGGUACUCAUUACCCUGAUCUCCAUCUGGCUUACUUAUCCAAUCCAGUGCAGCCAUACUGUUACUCAGUUGUUGUGUGUUAACAGGAAAAGUAUUCAAGGCUUUUUUUGGGCACCUAUGUGAUGUAAUCACUGAUGCAGUUCCUUCAACUUUGUGACUGGCAUGUUUUCGGGUUUCAGAAAAAAAAAAAAGAGGACAAUUUCUUCGAGAUACCUCAGGAGUUAGCUCUUACCCAGCUUGAGUUUACCUCUUACAUACCUCCAGUGGUCAGCAAAGUAAAGUGAAACACAACAUCAAAAGGGAGGCGUUUAGGAAAGUGAAGGAAGGAGUUUCCGGUUUUUGCUGGUUAAGUGCUGGAACUGAAAGCACAAGGAGAUCCAACAAAGGAGGAAUCAAAGCGCUUUUAACGCAGCGGAACUAAGAAAGUACAAGAAAUGGAGGAAAAGGAGAAAAAUAAAAAAGUAUUCCGAUUCUGAAUGGAGCAUAUCAACCCGUUCUUGAAGUUCUCACCUACACAAUGGGGACAAGCUCACAUUGAUUUUAUGGUAAAGAGGUGGGGGAAUUUUGGUGUCGGCUUUCAGUUGGAAAAAAAGUUACUGAAUAUCCUAAAUUGGUGACUGGUUUCAUUACUGGUCUCUGGUUCUGUGAGCUUUUGAGAGUCAAGAAGCAAUUUCUGGCGCGGCUAUGCAUGUAAGGAACAUACUGGGUUUCGAUCAAGAUGUUGGAAGAAGGUUUAUGAUAGUCACGGAGGUCAAGUGAAGAUAGAAGUCCAUUCAGAGAAGAAAAUACAGCUGUUUUUUACUACUUGUCGGAUCAGGUGGUGGGGGUCAGUAUGGGCCCGCGGGAUUAGUCAGGCCAAAGUCCUGGAUACUCAUCGUUAGCAAAAAAAAAAGAAAAGGGUGAUGGGGGUGGCUUAAGUUAAAAAUGAAUUCUUUUUCAGCUAUUCUUGGUGUGGUAUCCUACGCCACACCUGUUUCAUCCCGAUUUCCAGUGACUCCGAAAUGAAGAUGACGAAACUGCAGAGUUACCAGCAAUGGGUCAGUAACGAAUCGAAUCGGCAGUGUUUGGGUUUUGACAGUAUGGAUGUUUCCGCAACGAUAGCACUCCUUACAUUGUUCUCAAGAUGGCUGAUGGAAGCUGAUGAGGUGGACCAAUGCCUGAUGGCUGGCAUGUUAAGGCCUGCUUGUGACCAUCCUCAAAAGUUUUCCCCUCUACAUGGAGGGUUAUAAUCCGGAUGCACCCCUCAGCCACUUGUAUCAUUAAUGAGACUCAGAACCAGUUCUACCGCAAGCUGGGCGGGCACAAGUUGAACAGUAUUUGCAACCUGGACUACAAGAGAACCGGUCUAAUUUUAUCCCCACAAAUUUUAGCCCUUCCGAUCCCCACUUGCUUUCUUAGAACCCAACAUGUGCUGUUAAAUGUGGAGGAUGAUUGAAUUGACUUGUCUUUGGCCCCUGAUCCCAGAUUGAGCACAAUAAAGUAGCACUAAAGUUUCCCCAGUCUACCAGGCAGAUCUCAGACACAAUGACCUUCAAGCCUUGGGGAUGAAACUACAAAUCUUGACAUUCAAACUCUGGAGUUGAGUUUUUCCUUUGAGCAUCUGAGUAGACAGGAAAAGGCAUGAUUGUAUUCACCAAGUUGUGCGGGAGGGAUAAACAUAGUGAAGAGAAUGGGUGAAAGAAUUAUAAAAGGCUUUGAAGAGAGCCUCAGAGCAUUCCAAUAUGGUGUCUAAUGAUGGCUUCUUGUUGAAGAUUUUCCGGCCUGAUAAUCUGAAUCUUGGGAAAAAUAAGUGGUUGCUGGAAUUGAUGGGGAUAUAAGACAUGUUCACAAUGAUCCUGGAAGCUUGGGGGAAAAAAAACUAGCUGAUCAGUCUCAAAAUGGGAUUUUGUGAUCAUGUUAAUACCAUAACUUAGACCAUCACACUCAGAUAACCUUUUCCCAGUUGCUUUUCCUAGCUGAAUCUGGCGAUGAGAUCACCAUUAUGUUUGAUGAUGAUAUUUUCGUUCAUUCACAAAUUCCCAAUAUUGUGACGGUGUUUAUUGUGAGAUAUUGGAAUCUUCUAAAUGCAUCUUAAAGCCCGUUUGCAAUGUUUGGAGGAACGAAAAUGCGUAGUUGAUCACGAGAGCAAUUUGCUAAAUAUUUUUCAUUUAUGAUAGACGUUUGCUUUGAAAGGGUUGGUUGGUAAAGUAUGAGAAUCGAAGGAGGCAACCCAAAUGGUGUUCCCCUAAUAGAGUUGAAAAGGUUGUGGCAAGGAUUGACAGAGGGCGAGGUGAUGCUUAUUAUAGGUGGAGUAAAAACGGACUCCAGUUGGAUGAGGGUGUUAGACAUAUUGAAUUUUGUUAUUCCCCACAUGUUUUAAGACGGGGAUGGGGUUAUUGUUGCUUCAUGGUAUGAUUUUGUUCAAGUUAUAGACAAAGAUCACAAGCACAUGUUAAAAAGGUUCUUGGUGCAAUUGUUCUAUAAAACUCAAGGAUGAGUUUUUCUCAAUAUAAGGAAAUUUGAUGUAGUUGCAUUAGACAUUAAAUCUCGUAUAGAGGCCUAUGCGGAAGUUUGGGAGAACUCAUAUGGU